UGUUACUCAAUGUCCUUCCAUCCCUACUAGUCCACCACCAGCAACAAGCUUACAAAAUUUCCUUAAACUAAAAAACGUGGCUCACCCACCACCACCAUCACCAUCAAUUCUUAAUCUUCAAUCAUCUUGGAACAUAUGAGAUAUUUUGUAGUCAUGGGUUUGAAAGGAUUUUUAAGAAAAUUCUUUAUGUGAUGAUGAAUGUUGUUGUUUCCCACAAUAGGCAAUGAGAAAGGCUUUGGUUACCCUGAAUUUGUUGCCAAUUCCAUCUGGGCAAUGCCCUCCCAUUGCCGUACAUAAAUAUAGAAAAAUCCACAACCUUCAAGAUUUGAUUUUGUUUAUUUGAGUUGUUUGAUUUUAAUUUGAUUUAUGGGUUAUAGGUGAUGAAGAUUUUGAAGAGUUUUUAAUUUCUGUAAUUGAAUUGUUGAGUUUUAAUUCUGAGUUAAAGGUUGAAUGUGACAUGGCAUUAAGGAGAGAUAGUGGAGGAAGAUGAUGGAAAAACUUCUCUUUCCCAUGCUAAACUCUACCAGAAAGUACCACUAGUGUUAAAGGAUAUAUACUACUCCCCCGUUUUAUAAUACUUAACACAAUUGACUUUAUUACGCAUUAUAAUGCAUAACUUUGAGUUUAAAUAUCUUGAAUAAUAUAUUAGAAAAAAUAUGAAAAUUUGAUAUUUUGAAAAUACUCAUCGAGACAAAUCUAACGACGUCUUAUUUGAUACUACCUCCGUCCCUAAUUAUAAGACAUUUUUGAUAAUUUUUUUUUCCUUUUUAUAAGACCCAUUUUCUAUUUCCAACUACAUUAAUUAUUUCUUUACAUACAUGCCCCUAUUUAUUAUAGAUAUUUUUCUUCAAUCAGCAAUAAAUAGAAUGUUGAAAACAUAAGCCAACCCUCUUUCUUAAAGGAUAAAAUUGUAAAAACAAUAGUAAUUAUAAACGUAUUUAAUAUAAAUAUCCACUAUCUUAAUUCCCGUUAUUUUUUCAAAAGAGCCUUGUAAUUAGGGACGGAUGUAGUAUUAUUUAUCUUUGUAUAUUAAUAAAAAAAAUAUGGUCAAAGUAAGCUAAAUCAAAAUUGAAAUUUUUUAAAUGAGUAAUCUAUUGCGUGACGGAGGAAGACAUAAUAAUGAAAGUAUAAACACGUGUCACUGUUUGAACUCGGAUAGAUGUGAACGGUAUUGUGUGUGUUGUGUGAGUGCCAUGUGGGUUUAAAGCUGACCCCACCCCACACACACUGACGCUGCAUUUGGAAAUACUAACUAUAGGAAGGAAGGUGAUGCCAAACUUCCUCUUACCAAAUCCAAAUGCAACCCAUCGAUCAUACUUACUUAGACCAAUGAGCUUCUGCGCUUUCUGUUAUCGUCACUUAUUUGAAUGGUGUUCAGGGCAGUCUUAAGGGUGCAAACAAUUCUACUGAAUUUGGCUUUUAAAUUUUGGGGGUCUAAAUGUUUUAGCGCGAAAAUAUUGUCACAAUUGUUUUCUCGUUCUAGCAGUAGUAGCGCGUUUGCCAUGCAUGGGUCAGGUGUUCAACAUCCACAAUCCCUUUUUUCUUUUAAAUUUGCCUGUUCUUUUUUUUUUUUUUUUGAUUAAUUUUUCUUUUUCUUUUCCUUUUCUUCUUCUUCUUUCUUCUUUGAUUGAUUUUUCUAUCCCUUUUUUCUCUUUUCCUUUUUUUUUUCUUUUAUUAAUUUUUUUAAUUUGAGUCUAUUCUAUCCUCAAUAGUCUAUUUUUUUGGUUAAAUCUCAAUACUCUAUUCAAUUCAACCAAAUUCUCCUUAACAUAUUAGAUUAUAUAUUUACAAAUGAAAAUACAAUAUAAUUUUUUUUAGAGUAUUACUUGUAGUUUUUCGUCCAUACUUAUCGUAUAAAAUAGUCAAGCUCUAAUUCUCUAACAACAAACAUCAUAAUUUUUUUUAAAGAACAAACAUUAUAAUUAUUCUCUCAAAUAAAACAUUAUAAACCUUUUAUUUUUACAUGUGUGCAAAUUAACUAGGGAAAUUAACAACCUAAAAGAUUGAUAAAGAUAUUAGCUUGAAGUUGUGUUUUUAUUUUUACAGAUCUUAUUUUCAAUUUAAAUAGAUGAUUGCUCUUUUAAAAAAAUUACAUUUUUAUUUUAUUAGGGGUCUGUUUUUGAUUGAGAGCCGAACCUCCAAAUAUAUAGGGACGACCCUAAUGGUAUUUAGACGACAAUAGCGCAUUUAAGAAGAAAAAAACAAUAGAUGAAUACUUAAGAUAAAUUAUUUAAAUGAAAGAAACCAAUUUGAUUAAAAAAGUGAGAAGAAAAAUGUCAUUAAUAUCACCAAAAUGCAACACGUAUUUUGCAACCGAGUUAAGCCAUAAUGUGCAGGUCACUGGUGUUGAUUGAUUAUGAUAUUAUAGCUUAUGAUUUUUUUUUUCAUUUGAUAGUCUCAAGAAUAAUACAAAUCAACAUAGGAUAGUAGUAUUAAUAAUAACGAUAAUGAUGAUGUGAUACUUACCAAUAAUUUGCACAAUUUGUUCCCUUAUUAUGUUAAGAGAGUCCACGUAAAGUAAAGUACGUACUAUUUGAACAUUUUUAUUUUUUUUGUGAGAACUUUUUGAACUUUCGCUAUGUAUUAUGAUAUGAAAAAUCCAAAUUAAGUUAACGUGAGGAGUGAACACAAAUAAUUGAUAUAUUGAGGUUCAAAUCCUACAUCUUUUGAAACUUGGAAGAGAAAAUUGAUUACGUUGUUGAUAAUGAGGAUUUCGUGAUAGGAUAGACGUGGCCUGAUUUGAGAGUCCGUUUUGAUACAAUUUUGUUGAAUCUAAAAAAUAUUAUUCUUUGCUAAAAAAAAAUAUUAUUCUAAGGAGUUUUCAUUAAUUUGUAACAUUUUUAUAAAAACGAGAAUCUAAAAAACAAAAUAAAAAAAACAGUUUUAAAUGAGAAAUGUUUUGAGUGACUUCUUUUUAAACUAAUUUUUUAUAGUCUUCACUUAGGACAAAUAAACACAUAGCUGCUUCUUUUAUUCUAAAAAGCCUCUUAAUUUUUUUGAAGCCACUUAUUUAAAUGAUUGUUAUUCUUUUUUAUAAUCUAUGAUUUGUUUUUUUUCCCAGAUUGAUUUAAUGAUUCAAACACUACAAAUUUGAAAAUACUACUAAAUCAUACUCCCUCCGUCCCAAAUUGUAAGACGUUUUUGUCAUUUCACACGUAUUAAGAAAUGUAAUUAAUAUUGCGUGGGGAAGAGAAAUUAUGAGUUGUUUUACAAAAUUAUCCCUAAUAAAUGGUAUGGAAAAGAUAAAUGAAAUAAUUGAAAGAAGAUAGAGUAAUUAAUAGUUAAGGAUAUAAUAGGAAAAGUAACAUAAAUAUUUCAUUGGUAUUGUAAAGCGACAUAUAAUUUGGGACAAUUUUUUUUUCUAAAGCGACGUACAAUUUGAGACGGAGGGAGUAAGAAUAUAGUUUAAUUUCAUGCUUACAAGUUUCCCCAACACGUUUUCGAUCAUUCCUAGAAACACGUAUUUUGACCAAAUUAGUAAAUGACAAAAAACAAUCUGUAAAAAAGAAAAAUAGAACUGAGAAACAAGAAAACUUAUUUACUAGGACUCGUUUACAUUUUACAUACUUGCUUUUAUUCAAGCUAUUCGAUUUAAGACUUGUCUUUGAAUCUCCAACCUCCAAUCCAAUUUUUCUUUUGAUUCUCUAAAUAAGACUAUAUCAUUGCAAUGUAUGAGAUAUUUACUUGCAAGUGAUGAUAUAAUAUUAAGAGUUUUGUUAACGAAUGCUCCCGGGACAGUAAUUAUUCUUUUAAAAUAAAAAAGUUUUCAAAUUUUCAAUGCACUGAUUACACAAACUUCUAUAAAAAAAUUAUUAUUUUAGGUCCUUAACCAGUGCCCGGGGGCACUAGUUAACAUUUCCCUAAUAGUUAAAAUACAACAAAAAUCCUUUUAAGUUUGGAGUUUGAAACACAUGGAUUUUAAGUUUUUAGGUUAAAUAAUAUAUUUUUAGUCCUUAAAUUUUGCACUCAUUUGAAGAAUAGUCCAUACAUUUCACCAAAUGUUUUUAAAAUCAUCACAUUUUAUCCCCGUUAUCAAAAUUAGUCAAUGUUGUUAAUUCUCUAACGGAAUGUUGAUGUGACAGUUAGUGAGUCUCAAUUAUUUUAAGGUUAAAUAUGUUUUUGGUCCUUACAUUUUGCGUGACUUUGAAAAAUAGUCCUUACAUUUCAAUAAAUAUUUUUAAAAUCCCUAAUUACAUUUUUGAUAAACAAGCAAAAAAGAAACUUAACAAGAGAAAAAAUAUGUCCCUUCAAAAAAAAAAGAGAAAAAAUAUGUCAUUUUGUUAAAGUUUCCAUUGAAUUUAUAUGAGUAUUAGUCUAUGUGAUAUAUAUUUAAUUAGUUUUUUUUUCUUCUUAUAUCGCGGUUUGGUUAGGUUGGGAAAAUCAAAACCGCGGACCAAACCAAACCAUACAGUUGAGUAAAAAAAUGAUCUAAAUACAUCCAAACCAUAUGCAAUUUUUUGCGAUUUUAAUUUAGAUUGGUUUAAUUUGCGGUUUUUAUUUUGAAUUGGUUGGAUUUUCAACAUUUCUAUUCUCCAUACCAUGUCACCAAGAAACCAUAUGGAUUGCAACGUUACUAUUGUAGUGUCUCUAGUUUUGUUGAUUUCUGAUUUUGGUACCUCAAUUUUAAAAUUUGGAUAUAUAUGCAUUUUAGUUUCCAAAAUUUUAUAAACUUCUCCAUCACCUAAUAUUGUUAGACUUAUCUUUAUUAAUGUGCAAUGUGAAUAAUGAGGUAACAAAUCAUUGGAAGAUAUUGUUUUAAUUAGUGCUGCUACUUUAGAGAUUUCUUUCCCAAGACAACUUUAUAAAAAUGCAGAUAUAAGAGGAUAAAAAAAUUUCACUUUCGCACUUUAGAAGAUGAGACUUGAGAGAAUGAAAAAUUAAAGGAGAAAUGAGUAGUGUGAAGGAAUUUCAAAAGGAAUAUUUCUUACGAAACAAUGAUAUUUCAUUUGUAAAAAAGGAAAUUAUAAAAUCUUUAUAAACAGUUUCAUAUGAAUAUAAGUGCUAAGAUUUGUUUUUUUAAAAUACAUAUUUAUUUACAUAUUUAAAAGAAUAAUUUUAUUUCAAUUUCAAUUUCUUUUAUUAUGCACUACCAUUUCUUUAUAUGCAAUCGAGUACGAAUGAAAUAUGUUUUGAUUCACUCUUUAAUCUUUCAUACAGAUUAAUUGAACAUCAGGAUGUUUGAUCGUUGGUGGGUGAAAGAGAGUGAAAUUUUAGAGUGACAAUGAAUGAAAUCAAGAUUUUAAGAAAAUUUAUAUAAAAGGACAAUUUUGGUAUUAUCAAAAACUUUUUAAAAAAACUGGGUGUAACUAGAAAUAUAUAGGGUGUGAAUAGAAUUACCCUUCCAUAAAAUUAAAUUUUCAAAAAGCAUUUUCCUUUUUUCUUGGUUACAUCCUAAAUUCCCUCUUCAGUUUAAGUAGGUCAUGUAAACUUAGUUUCAGUAGGUCAUGUAAACUGAGUUUAAGUGUACAUACUUAAACUCAAUUUAAGUAGGUCAUGUAAACUGAGUUUAAGUGUACAUCUAAAAGUUCAACAUUGUUCAAUGAUUAUACGUAAUAUCAGUUUAAGUAUGUAAAUGUAAACUUAUUUUAAGUAGGUCAUGUAAACUAAGUUUAAGUGUACAUACUUAAACUCAGUUUAAGUAGAUCAUUUAACUUAGUUUAAGUAUCAUGUAAACUGAGUUUAAGUGUACAUCUAAAAGUUCAACAUUGUUCAAUGAUUAUAUGUAAUAUCAGUUUCAGUAUGUACAUGUAAACUUAGUUUAAGUAGGUCAUGUAAACUGAAUUUAAGUGUACAUAUUUAAACCCAGUUUAAGUAGGUUAUGUAAACUAAGUUUAAGUAGAUUAUGUAAACUAAGUUUACAUGAACCUACUUAAACUGAAUUUAAGUUAACCUCAACAAUGUAAAACUGAAACUGUCGUACAGUGCAGUUGAACAAGAAGAAAAUUGAAACCAGUGUUAUUGAAAAAGAAGAAAAAAUUCACUUAUUUAUAUGCAAUCGAGUAUGAAUGAAAGAUGUUUUGAUUCACUCCUUAAUCUUCCAUAGAGAUUAAUUGAACAUCAAGAUUGUUUGAUCGUUGGUGGGUGAAAGAGAGUGGAAUUUUAGAGUGACAAUGAAUGAAAUCAAGAUUUUAAGAAAAUUUAUAUAAAAAGAAAAUUUUGGUAUUAUCAAAAACUUAAAAAAAAAACUCGGUGUAACUAAAAAUAUAUAGAGUGUGAAUAGAAAAAUUCUUCUUUUAAUUAUAAAAAAAAAUAAUGACAAAAUACAUCAACAUUUAUUAAUUCAUAUGCCUCCUUUAAAUAGGAGGAAGUAAUUGUCAAGCAAUAUGGAAUAUGAUGAUCUAAAUCUAAAGUUAGAUAAAAGAUAAGUAAACCAUAAUCCAAUUGCUAUUCCAGUAAAAAAAAAUUCCGAUAUUUAUGGAAUAUUUAACUUGAGGGUUAUACUAACAUGUGUUGUAAAGACACUUUUAAGAAUUCUACAAAUAAUGAAAUGAUAAGUAAUUUUAUGCAUAUAGGGUUAUAGCCUCUAAUUUCUUAGGUGGUCUCCAGCAACGGCGUCAAAAACUUAAUAGAUGUUUGGCAAGUGUACCAAAUACUAUCGAAGUAGUAAAAAUAUCGUUCCCACAAGGACUGAUUUUAAUCUCAAUAAUUCAAUUACGUUGUAAGUUAGGAUGUAUAAAAGUUCUUUUGAUUUGCCACUAGACAUUUGAUUGGUUUGAUUGCAUAAAAUUAAUAACAGAAAUUAAAGAUUGGUUUUAAGAAUAAGAGAGAAAUGAGUUUAGGUCUUUCGAAUCAUCUAUGUUCCCCUAAUUGAUAUAAUGCACAUAUUCUUGUGAAUGAUUAACUAGUUCUACGAUAGUUAACAAAAUAGUCCUAAUCAAUCCCUUGAGUUAGGACCCUCUUCUAGGGUUACAACCCCUAAUUCCUUAGGUGGUCUAAUAAUCGUUGAAGGUUUAAACACGUUAACCUAAUGUCACUAAUAAAUGAUUAUUCAUUCCUAACCUAAUCAUGUUUAUUAGAAAAAUUCAAUUAAGUCUAAGUCAAAAACUAUGAUCAGUAAUCAUUCGUUCUCAGUAAAUCAUAUUUAUAUUUGAUCAUGAUAUAAAAAACAUUAAUAACAAUCUAACAAUUUUAUGCAUAUACUUAAAAUACCUUUUAUUUAGGGUCGUGACAAAUCAAAUAUUUCUCCUAAACUGCACCAAAUUGAAUCAUUAUCAAGGGUAUAUUCAAAUCAAUAAUUUCCGGGUCCUACUUACCUUUUAGCGUAUAAAGAUUUCGGUUGACUUGGGGAUGGUUGUUGAUAUCCAAAGUCUUUACAUCUUAUAUAGUACAUGAAAUAAAAAUCAGUCUAAUUCUAUCUAUUUGCUUGGCUAUUUCCUCCAAUAUUCCUAGAAGCUUCUUCUUUUCCCAUAUAAAAACUCAAAUCGUCUCAUUAUGCCUUUCAUUCAUCCACCUAUAGCUACUCACUGCAACCUUUUCUUAAACCAACAAUAACAUCAAAGCAAGCUGGUUCUAAAUUCUUUACCAAAAUGGCUGCAAAACGGUUUUUCGAUGAUUCUAAUCAAGACAAAGACAAACCAAAUGACAAACGGAUAAGAACUACAACAAUACCUUCUUUUGCUUCGUAUGUUUUUGUUUCUCAAACCAAUUACUACCCAACCCAAUAUUCAUUCAUUCUAUCAUAUUCUUUCAAUUCAUUCAUUUUAGAAAACUACUCUUUGCUUAAAAAAAACAUUUUUUUAUGUUCCAACUUUAUAUAUAGCUUGAUUAUUAAAUGUUGCAUAAUAUAUAUCCUCUACUAUACAUUAAUUACUCUCAAUUCUCAUGUGGCAGGGUGAUAGGAGAAGUUGUUAUGGUGAAAAACAUGCAAAACCUUUUCUCUGGCUUGGAACCUUUACUUAGAAGAGUGGUAAGUAACCAUAAUUUCGAAAUGAAAUUAAUGUCAACCAUACCUUGACUAAAUUUAUCUCCUAACAAACAAAUAAAAGUUGUAACAAACAUGUCUUUAAUAUGAUCAGGUGAAUGAAGAGGUUGAACGAGCAAUGAGACAAUGUUAUCCACCAGUACGAUCAAUAACAAAGUCACCUUCAUUGAGACUUGAAGGAAUGGAAGAACCAUUAAGUUUGCAAUUCAUGUUCAAAAAUAAACUUUCACUUCCAAUAUUCACCGGUAGCAAAAUACUAGACAUGGAUGGAAACUCAAUCAGUGUGAUUCUUGUUGACCGAAGCAAUGACCAAGUAGUCCCUACAAGUCUAUCACACCCAAUCAAGAUAGAAAUUGUAGUUCUUGAUGGAGAUUUUCCUCCUAGUAAAAAGGAAUCAUCAUGGACUAGUGAGGAAUUUAAUAACAGUAUUGUGAAAGAGAGAACUGGGAAAAGGCCAUUGCUUACAGGAGAAUUAAAUCUUACUAUGAGGGAUGGAAUUGCACCAAUUGGUGAUAUUGAGUUCACUGAUAAUUCAAGUUGGAUACGUAGUAGAAAGUUUAGAGUUGCUGUUAGAAUUGCUCCUGGGACUAAUCAAAGUGUCCGAAUUCUUGAAGGCAUGACAGAAGCUUUUGUUGUUAAGGAUCACCGUGGAGAAUGUCAGUUUUCUUUCUCUUUCUUUUAUAUUUUAUCAAUCAAUUCAAUAUACUUUCAUAUCAUAUCCAAUGAGAAUCCAAUAUGUUAGGGUAAUUUUUUACAAGACUUAUAAGCCAAUAUGAUGAACUGUGAUAGGAUAUUGGUGUAAUACUAAUUCACACUGAAAAUGCACUUUCAAGAUAUUCUAAUUUAUUGAUUAGAAUAUGUAUAAUAACUUUAUUUUUCUAUGAUUUCUUUCUUGGUCAAAUGAUUGCAUAGAAAAUGAUCCUCUUCAUUUAAAUGCAUCACAUUGAAGCUAAUUAAACUAGCUACCUGGUAUAUAUGCUUUGGUGGUAGCUGCAGCUUUAAUUAAGAAAUGAUGUGUUGUUAAUAACUACGUUUAGUUUAUUUUAAGGUUGUUGGGAUAUAACUAAAAUAAAGGAUGAUAUAGGGUCAACCUUUUUAGUCUUAUAUAUAAUAGUUGUUCUCUACAAUAUUUGUUUCCUAACAAUAAUAUUUUUCGUACAAAUGAAGUGUACAAGAAACAUCAUCCACCAAGUCUAAAGGAUGAAGUUUGGCGCUUAGAGAAGAUUGGUAAAGAUGGAGCUUUCCACAAAAAGUUGACCUUAGAAGGGAUUACAACAGUUCAAGAGUUUCUCAAGUUGUCUGUAGUUGACCCUCUUAGGCUCAGAAAGGUACAUAUCCAUCCAUCUUAAUCUAUAUGAAUGAAUAAAUAUACGUUGCCAAAUUUAAGAAUGUAAUAAAUAACAUUCUCUCAAUUGUAUGGUUUUGCAAUCAGAUUUUAGGCAUUGGUAUGUCAGAGAAAAUGUGGGAUGUGACAAUUAAACAUGCAAAGACUUGUGUAAUGGGAAACAAACUCUAUGUUUACCGUGGGCCCCAAUUUACCAUCCAUUUGAAUGCAAUAUGCCAAAUGGUUAGAGCUAACAUCAAUGGCCAAACCAUUCCCAACCGAGACAUUUGCAACAUGGACAAGGUACAUUUAUUUAUUUAUACUAAAACUCACCUUGUUCAAUCUCUUUAAUUACUACUACCCAUUGAUUUUUAACCUAUAUUGUUCAUUUAAUUUGCAGAGCUACAUACAAAACUAUGUGAGAGAAGCAUAUGCUAGAUGGAAUGAGUUGGAGGAAAUUGAUGAAGUUUUGAAUGACAACGUUGCUUUGUUAACUCAAGGUAUGUUCAAAUAAUCAAUAAUAAGUUAUUACUUCUAUGUGACUAUGCAAAAUUAUUUAACCAAAAGUAAAUUUCCAAUUGAAAAAUGAAAUUCAGAGUGAGAUAAUAAAUUCAAUUAUUAUGAAUUAAUUUAUUUAUUGAAUAUCUCUUCUCUAUAUACAGGUGAAACCAUGGAGCAAUUUCCAAACAAUAAUCAUCAAGAACCAGUUAUAACAUAUGAUCAAAACAACUAUUUUGGUGAUAAAUCUCUAGAGAAUGGCAACUAUGUAGCAAACAAUAAUAAUGCACAAAUAGGUUGCACCGAUUGGUCAUCAUUUCCCACAUCACCAUUCAUGAAUGGCAUGCCUUACAGCUUCCCAGAUUCACAAUCAGACGGUGGUGAUAUAAGACCUCAUUGAUGGAGCUUCAAGGUGGAAUUAGCAGUUGGAGUAUAAAUAGUGCUUUAGAGUUUUAGUCGGAAAUUGCUCUUCUCCCUUCUUUUUUUUUUCUUUUUUUCCGCUCAUUCAAUUGCCUACAGUGUGUUAACUCACGUUAAAAAAUGCCCGCGUGAGUUAACUCACGCCGAUCAUAAUUAAGGGGGGAAUGGACAAUUUUAAAAGGGUGAAGAGUAAUUUUUGUCCUAGUGUCAAGUGCUGGCUCAAAAAAUGCAGUGUCUUUUGACUUAUGUUGGGCUCUCACUUUAAUCUCUGUUUCUAGUUAGACUAGGCAUAGUUAUUUUCUAGGCCCAUUAUAAGGUUGUGUGAAACAUGGGCAUUGUUUGUUCCUCUUCUGCACAAAAAAAUGCAAACCUGCCUCUACCAGGCCAGUGUUAGUAUGUUUAUCAUAAUUUCGAUGAAUUACAAUUUGAUCAAAAAGCAAUUAACAAGGAUCAAAUAUUGCAAAUCUUUUAUAAGCAGAAUAAGUGAAAAAUUCGAGGUUCUGGUGACAUUCCCGACUUCUUGCCGUAAAGUUAGAAGGUCCUUGCAUGUUUAUUUUAUUGAUUGUAAUAACUUGUGUUUUCCUGCCAAUAGCCUAAUGUAAAAAGGUAAGCGGUUGAAUGAAUUAAUCCCCUAUAGUCAAUAACAAAUUUCACAGGGGUUUUACGUUUUAUUUUACAGAGAGAGAUAUGCAGUCAAUUCUAGCAAAAAAUUAAUCAUCACUAUGAUUCCAUAAGGACAUACAAAAACUUGUUUGGCCAGUUUCAUGAGAAAAAAAAUAACAUCCUAGAUAAAGGGAGCAACCUUCACAUGUUUCCAUUCAGCAAAAUAUUAGCUAGUUCUAAAGUAAUACUAUGUGUGAAUCAAAACCUAUUGAAAUUGUAGUAUACUAUCUAAAGUAAUAUGAACAAGUUCGUGAUUUAAUUUCUAAAGGUUUAACAACUACAAUUGAGUGCAUUCCCUUUCUAUAAACAAUUAGCUUUAUGUGUUCAUAAAGAAUCAAUAAAUUAUGGGCGACUAAUCCGGCUCGUGCGCAGAGGCAUGCACACUACACUGGCCAAGCGUUGUUCCCCCUGGAAAUCGAACCCGAUAUUUCCCGGUUACAUCCUUGGAAGGAGUUCCUUGCCACUAGAGCUCAAACAACUUUUUUAUAAAGAAACAAUAAAUUAUACUACUUGAAUAUAUAAUUUAUAUACUUAUCUUUAUGUGUCUGAUAAUACAUAUUAUAAAAGAAAUUAUUAAAUUAAUUUUUCACACUUAGGGUUUGUUGUGCUAGGUUUUUUACUCCAUGUAGUAUUUCAAAAUCACUUUGCCGCGUAAGCUAUCCUACCUGUAAAUAAAAAGCUUUAUUAUUAAUCAAGUUAUACAGCUCAUGCUUGUUCCAAGUAUUGUGGAUCUUCAUGCUCAGAAAUUGAAUUUUUUGGCUUCCAUGCCAAAAAUAUGAUAGAUAGAGGUGAUUUUUAUACUACAUGCCAGCCAACAAAUUAAUUGGACUAUUGGAGCAGUGCCGUUGCCAACAAAUACAAUACAUAAGUGCAUUUCAGGAAUCAUAUAUUAGCUGCUUCUCUUCUAGAAGUUCUAAAGUAUAAACAAAAUGAAAAAGUGAUUAUUUAAUCUAAUUUAAGGGCCUGUUUGUGUGGAAGUUUGGAGCAGUGCCACCAUCAAUAAGUGUAACUUUAUGACUCAUCGUAAUACAAAGUACGCACUAAUUGAUUUAAAAUCAACUAUGAACAAAGCCAAAUUGAAAGUUCAGCGGUUGAAACAUCAAACAUAAAAUAAGCACUUUUUGUUGCAUAGUGAGUAAGUCUAAACCAAACAAGUACUAGGCAGUUUCCCACCCUCUUCGCAGAGGAUAGUGGCACAUAUCCUUUUUCUCAACUAAAAUCAUUGAGUUUGCCCUGCCAUCUAAAUAAUAAGUCAACAUUUUCUUCUGUUUUCCACUUACAAGUCUUUAUCAUUUAAUCAAAUAUAUACUAAUAUCCAGCCUUUCAUAACUAGCACACCAAUACAGUCACAGUGCACAAUUAUAAUAAUAAUAUAGAUUAGACUAUAGUCACAACAAAUUCUCCACGCUUUAUUUUGUAUUUUCCACAUUUGAAUCUUCUGUCCUUAAAUACAUACACCUUGUAUAUGCUUCUUCUUCAUAUUAAUCACAUCCAAGCUCUACCACGCAACCAUGAGAACCCUUUUCAUUAUAUUAUUCACCAUUAUUUCCUUCUCAACAAUUUUGCCACUAUCCAACUCUCAAAAAAAUGACACUUUUUCUACUUGCAACGAAUCAUAUUUCACAUGUGGAACAAACACAAAUGUAUCAUUUCCUUUUUGGGGAAAGAACCGACCAAAUAUUUGUGGCAAAAAUGAGUUCAAACUCACUUGCAUGCAUAACCAAAAUACUUCUGUUCAAAUUGGUUCACAAAAGUUCAAUGUACUAAACAUUAACCAAACAGCUUCUACCAUGAAAAUUGUUAGAACAAAUCUUAUCAAUGAUAUUUGUUCUUCAAAUUUCACCAACACUUCUUUGAAUGGAAGUCCAUUUACUUUUCUUCCAAAUGUUCAGAAUCUCACUGUAUUCUAUAAUUGUCCCAUUGAAAAUAGUUCAAUUAUUGGAAAAAACAUAAACAGUUUUACGUGUGAAAAUAAUGGUAGCAAUAAACAUGUUUUCUACGUGGUGAAGAAUGAAACUCAGUUACAAAACCAAUUCUCAAACCUUCAGAACUGUGGGGCUAGUGUUCAAGUGCAAGUUUCUAUGGAUGGUGUUUCUGAGAGUGGAGUUGAGGUAGUGCAAGAAGGAUUUGAUGUGAAGUAUGAUGAAGGUGCAGGGUGGUCCUCAGAGUGUGAAGUGUGUAGGGAAUCUGGAGGAACAUGUGGUACCAAUCAGAAUGAUUCUUCUCAGUUUUCUUGUUAUUGUCCUGGUGGAACUCAUGCUGCAAAUUGUUCUGCUCGCAAAAGUAUGCUCUCUUUCUUUUCUUCUCUAAUUUUUCAUACAUAAACUUGUUUUAUUGGUCGUACAUUCAUUUUUAGCUCAUUCUACAAUUUUACUAAUUGGGAGAACUUAUCUAUUAACAUACAUAUUUGUAUGGAAGAACUUAUGCAAAUUACUUAUGUCCAUAAAUUGUUCAGCUUAUUUUCAUAAGUUCUCUAUAAAUGCUUACGAAAAUAAUUCAGACCUUAUCUGAAAAUAAUUGAUUUGAUUUAAUUAUUUUUAUAUGAUAAAUAUUCAUGUUAUAAGCACUUAAUUAAAUUGUCUAUUCAUUGAAAACAUUUUUUAGAAAACCAAUUUAAUACUAUUUUCAACAUCAGUACUGUAUCGGGUAUAAUAUGAUAUAGAUCAUAUAUACCAUCGCCUUUGAAAACAGAAAUAUUAUGUAUGAAUUCGAUGUUGCAUAGUGUAUUUUCUACUAAGAGUUUAAAGGAGUAAGAAUAAUUAUGCUGUGUCAUU
rnacentral:lncRNA from 1 species